AUCCAACUGACGAGUCCUAAAUAGGAGGAAACGCGCUUUCUGGAU
rnacentral:hammerhead_ribozyme from 1 species